rnacentral:rRNA from 1 species
CACGUGAGCAACCUACCCUUGACUCUGGGAUAACAGUUGGAAACAGCUGCUAAUACCGGAUAUGAACUUGGCGGGCAUCUGCUGAGUUGGAAAGCUCCGACGGUCAAGGAUGGGCUCGCGGCCUAUCAGCUUGUUGGUGAGGUAAUGGCUCACCAAGGCGACGACGGGUAGCCGGCCUGAGAGGGCGACCGGCCACACUGGGACUGAGAUACGGCCCAGACUCCUACGGGAGGCAGCAGUGGGGAAUAUUGCGCAAUGGGCGAAAGCCUGACGCAGCAACGCCGCGUGCGGGAUGACGGCCUUCGGGUUGUAAACCGCUUUCAGCAGGGACGAAACUGACGGUGCCUGCAGAAGAAGCACCGGCUAACUACGUG